AUGGGGAAUCUUCCGCAAUGGACGAAAGUCUGACGGAGCAACGCCGCGUGAGUGAAGAAGGUUUUCGGAUCGUAAAGCUCUUUCGUUAGGGACGAACGUGCUCUUUGUGAAUAAUGAGGAGUAAUGACGGUACCUAAAUAAGAAGCCACGGCUAACUACGUGCCAGCAGCCGCGGUAAUACGUAGGUGGCAAGCGUUGUCCGGAAUUAUUGGGCGUAAAGCGCGCGCAGGCGGGAUAUCAAGUCUGUCUUAAAAGUGCGAGGCUCAACCUCGUGAGGGGACGGAAACUGGUAUUCUUGAGUGUCGGAGAGGAAAGUGGAAUUCCAAGUGUAGCGGUGAAAUGCGUAGAGAUUUGGAAGAACACCAGUGGCGAAGGCGACUUUCUGGACGAUGUCUGACGCUGAGGCGCGAAAGCUAGGGGAGCGAACGGGAUUAGAUACCCGAGUAGUCC
rnacentral:rRNA from 1 species